GAAACUGGUCCGUGAACUGGACCCACAGCCGGCGUGUAUUUUCAUAAUUGUAAGGCCUACAAUAAGUAUUCUGGCAAGAGAAGAUCUAUCAAGAAUUUACAAGCUAGAUCCCAGUGUAGCCGUUAACAUCCCAAUGUCAACACGCACACUAGUAAACUUUCAAGACAUUUCCCUAAGCCCAAGACAAAGCAGGUGUCAGGGGAAGGUGGCUCGAAGUAGGGAGAUGUCUGGCAGUUGGGAUUGAGAAUUGACGAAAUGGGAGGAAAAUACACCAUGCAGAAGAAUGGAUACGAUGAGAUUGCUGCUGUGGCUGAGUGUGAGGUUCCUGCAACUAUCAACUGAUAUUUGAGAGAUUACCAAAGGGAGGGAGUGAAGUUCUUGUACCAGCGUAAUAAGAAUUGCGAGGUUGCUAUUGAGAGAUGACAUGGGAUUGGGAAAAACUGUCCAGGUCCUUGCCAUCCUUUGAACUGUGCUUGGAAAGACUGGUACCAGGGAAGACUGCCCAAUACGCUUGCCAGAGUUUUCAAAGAAGAUAGUCAGCACCACAGACUUCUUCUCAAGAGAGUACUCCUUCCAGCCAAUCAAAUGGAGCACUACAAGAAGUCUUGCUUGGCCAAUCAAAGCAAACCUCUUAUAAAAUGAAUGAAACAACAGUUCAGUUUGGUCAGACACCCAGAGGAAUCAGGAGGUAUGAUAUUCAACCCUGAACUAUUGAUAAUAAAAAAUGGUAUCAAAAAGAGCCUUUGAUAAACAAGUUUUAUUUAUCAUUUCUCAAAUUGGUAUGACUUCGAAGUAAAGUAGUGACAUAAUGUUUGACUUCAGAUACUGUUUUGUAAUGUUUAAAACACUUUCAAGUGAUGUGUUUGCAGCUUAUUAAGGUUGUUCAAAUUCGAAAACAAUCUGUAUAUUAUGUCUUUAACACUCAUGUAUGCAACUUUGGUGAAAUUGGCGUUUCAUGCCUUUGUCACUCAUUACUAUGUCCUGAGUAGCUCAGACAUUAUUUUAUUAAAAAAGCACUGGACACUUUUGGUAAUUGCUCAAAAUAAUUGUUAGCAUAAAAACUUACUUGGC